rnacentral:lncRNA from 1 species
AUCCCUGGGGCCGCGCCCUGCCGCCCGUCCCCCAACAUCACCCUACUGUGGAGCGACGUGGCUGCUAAGAGGGGCGCCCUCCCUAGCAGGUGAUCAAACUCAAUCAACAGCUCCAAAAAGUUUACAUUACCCAGGAGCAAAAACGGACCUGCUGUGUUUCUACUACCUCUGCAACUCAUUCCCCAGUGGGAGGAAAGGAUAAGAAACUAAAUUGCAAACAUGUUGCAGCUGCUGAAUGACUCAGCCUGGCAAGUUUCCUGUCUGGAAUAAUGUGCUGCUCUGGGAACUUCUCAUCAAACAUUCUCCCCA